rnacentral:rRNA from 1 species
CCUACGGGUGGCAGCAGUGAGGAAUAUUGGUCAAUGGCCGGAAGGCUGAACCAGCCAAGCCGCGUGAAGGACGAAGGUGCCAAGCAUUGUAAACUUCUUUUGUCAAGGGACAAAAUCAGGCUCGAGAGCCUGACCGAGGGUACUUGAAGAAAAAGCAUCGGCUAACUCCGUGCCAGCCGCCGCGGUAAUACGGAGGAUGCGAGCGUUAUCCGGAUUUAUUGGGUUUAAAGGGUGCGUAGGCGGGAUGUUAAGUCAGCGGUAAAAGGCCGGGGCUCAACACCGGCCAGCCGUUGAAACUGGCUGUCUUGAGAGGGCGAGAGGUGUGCGGAAUGCGUGGUGUAGCGGUGAAAUGCUUAGAUAUCACGAAGAACUCCGAUUGCGAAGGCAGUACACUGGACUGCAACUGACACUGAGGCUCGAAAGCGUGGGUAUCAAACAGGAUUAGAUACCCUGGUAGUC